ACUAACACUUCCAACAGUAUUAAGAUGGGGAAUGCAACAAGCUAUUGAAAUUGUAGAUGCACGAUACUAGUGAUGCAAGAAAUGAAGCAUAACAGAUUUUCUUAACUAAACACUGAAGGUGGGGGGAUGAAAUUAUGAGGCAAAAGAAGCAAGAAACAUGAGGUAAACUAAGUAGGCUCGGCAAACUUUACAGAAGACAACUAGGAGAAAAGGUAAAAUGUAGUGCUGCCCCCCUCACCCAAUAAGCUGGGCUGGUAUUUUAAUAUUUUUGAUUUGUUCUAUGCAAUGAUUGGAUGCAUUGAUUGAAGGAGUUGCACUCCGGCCAUUACCACCCGAGGUAUAAAUUGUGCAAGAAAGUGAAAACUAUAUUUUAAAAUCUGAGAAUAACAACUCUUGUAGUGGCAACAUAUUUUAACAUAAUCUGUAUCAACAACAGAACACCUACAGUGGACUAUAGUAUCUGCUGACACACUGAUUGAAAACAUCAUUCUUUUCCUGUGACAAGAAGAUUGUGCCCCAUGAAGGCAUCCCUACACAGUAUUAAUUAUAAUGCCUUUCUCUUUUUCCUAAUCCCAGUCAUUUGAAAAAAAGGUCUGUGAAAGCAAAGGUUGCUUACCCAGUUAUCACUUAAAUGAUUUACUGACACUAUAAUUGUGAACUAAAGAUUUUAUAGCUACAGAUAAAGGUCACUGGCAGUUAACCCACCAAAAGUGCUUAGCAAACACUUUCACUACAGAGCAUCAGGAAAAGAGGGAAUGUCUGAGGCAAAGAAGAGCAUCAGGAAAAGAGGGAAUGUCUGAGGCAAAGAACCUUCUUGUCUACAAAGCAGACCGAACAGUAGCUUUCAGUAAGUAGUGGGACUGUACCUUAUUUGGUAACUCCGAAGUAUCGGUGCUUCCAUACUAGUAUGAAGUCUGACCAGAAGACCUGCAGGAACUAACAGUAGAAGCCUCCAUUUUAUGUCUCCUGAAGCAUGGAACAAAUUUGUCUCGUGGUGGGGGAACUGGAUGAAAUUCUAUAUCACUCAGAUUAUUAUUUUUUAACAUCAACAUAGUGUGGAGGUAUGGUACCUGAAGCAGCAGACCUAUAAUGAAAAAGGAUACUAUUUGCUACAUCUGGUGUUCUGUUUUUGUUGUACCUUAUUUCCUGGAUUUGAAUGUCUUGAUGAGUUUAUGUCCCGUAAGUCUGACACAAGAGUUGAAAGGUCAAUACGCUGCUUUCUUCUGUUCCCACGGUGUUGCAAAGUAAGCUGAAGGUGUUUUUCAGCUUGUGGAUGUGCAGCUCGAGAUGAUUAAAGACUAAAAUUGUCUCUCAAGAUGUUUUCAGUGGGAAAAAUUCCUGCAUAAGUCUGGAUGGGUCUAUAUUAUUAAAUCGAAAGUUGAUUUGAUCGAAUGCUGAAAUGCUGACACCAGAAUGUCGAACUGCAACAUGGUCGACAGCUUAAAAUGUUGAAAAUCAACAGAACGAAAUGUUAUAGUUGGGCAAACCACAUAUAAUAAUGCACGGUCACCUGUACAUUCCGCAGUUAUCAAGUACUAUUUUUUACAGUGUAGAGCAUAAAAAUAUAUUUGAAAGAUAUAUAAAUGUACACAUUACUAAUUAGAACAUAUCAGAGGUUUAAGAAAUUACAUUUUAAAUGCUGAUAUAAUAUUUUACA